rnacentral:rRNA from 1 species
GCUUCUGAUUGAUAACAUUUGAGUGAGUGGCGGACGGGUGAGUAACACGUGGGUAACCUGCCCUAAAGUGGGGGAUAACAUUUGGAAACAGAUGCUAAUACCGCAUAAAACCUAGCACCGCAUGGUGCAAGGUUGAAAGAUGGUUUCGGCUAUCACUUUAGGAUGGACCCGCGGUGCAUUAGUUAGUUGGUGAGGUAAAGGCUCACCAAGACCGUGAUGCAUAGCCGACCUGAGAGGGUAAUCGGCCACACUGGGACUGAGACACGGCCCAGACUCCUACGGGAGGCAGCAGUAGGGAAUCUUCCACAAUGGACGAAAGUCUGAUGGAGCAACGCCGCGUGAGUGAAGAAGGUUUUCGGAUCGUAAAACUCUGUUGUUGGAGAAGAACGUAUUUGAUAGUAACUGAUCAGGUAGUGACGGUAUCCAACCAGAAAGCCACGGCUAACUACGUGCCAGCAGCCGCGGUAAUACGUAGGUGGCAAGCGUUGUCCGGAUUUAUUGGGCGUAAAGCGAGCGCAGGCGGUUUCUUAAGUCUGAUGUGAAAGCCUUCGGCUCAACCGAAGAAGUGCAUCGGAAACUGGGAAACUUGAGUGCAGAAGAGGACAGUGGAACUCCAUGUGUAGCGGUGAAAUGCGUAGAUAUAUGGAAGAACACCAGUGGCGAAGGCGGCUGUCUGGUCUGUAACUGACGCUGAGGCUCGAAAGCAUGGGUAGCAAACAGGAUUAGAUACCCUGGUAGUCCAUGCCGUAAACGAUGAGUGCUAGGUGUUGGAGGGUUUCCGCCCUUCAGUGCCGCAGCUAACGCAUUAAGCACUCCGCCUGGGGAGUACGACCGCAAGGUUGAAACUCAAAGGAAUUGACGGGGGCCCGCACAAGCGGUGGAGCAUGUGGUUUAAUUCGAAGCAACGCGAAGAACCUUACCAGGUCUUGACAUCCUUUGACCACUCUAGAGAUAGAGCUUUCCCUUCGGGGACAAAGUGACAGGUGGUGCAUGGUUGUCGUCAGCUCGUGUCGUGAGAUGUUGGGUUAAGUCCCGCAACGAGCGCAACCCUUAUUACUAGUUGCCAGCAUUUAGUUGGGCACUCUAGUGAGACUGCCGGUGACAAACCGGAGGAAGGUGGGGACGACGUCAAAUCAUCAUGCCCCUUAUGACCUGGGCUACACACGUGCUACAAUGGAUGGUACAACGAGUCGCGAGACCGCGAGGUUUAGCUAAUCUCUUAAAACCAUUCUCAGUUCGGAUUGUAGGCUGCAACUCGCCUACAUGAAGCCGGAAUCGCUAGUAA